rnacentral:rRNA from 1 species
CCUACGGGAGGCAGCAGUGGGGAAUAUUGCACAAUGGGCGCAAGCCUGAUGCAGCCAUGCCGCGUGUGUGAAGAAGGCCUUCGGGUUGUAAAGCACUUUCAGCGGGGAGGAAGGCGAUAAGGUUAAUAACCUUGUCGAUCGACGUUACCCGCAGAAGAAGCACCGGCUAAAUCCGUGCCAGCAGCCGCGGUAAUACGGAGGGUGCAAGCGUUAAUCGGAGUUACUGGGCGUAAAGCGCACGCAGGCGGUCUGUCAAGUCGGAUGUGAAAUCCCCGGGCUUAACCUGGGAACUGCAUUCGAAACUGGCAGGCUAGAGUCUUGUAGAGGGGGGUAGAAUUCCAGGUGUAGCGGUGCAAUGCGUAGAGAUCUGGAGGAAUACCGGUGGCGAAGGCGGCCCCCUGGACAAAGACUGACGCUCAGGUGCGAAAGCGUGGGGAGCAAACAGGAUUAGAUACCCGUGUAGUC